rnacentral:tRNA from 1 species
GGGGGUAUAACUCAGUGGUGGAGCAUUUGAUUGCAGAUCAAGAGGUCGCCGGUUCAAAUCCGGGUGUCCCCU